rnacentral:rRNA from 1 species
AGAGUUUGAUCAUGGCUCAGAGCGAACGCUGGCGGCAGGCCUAACACAUGCAAGUCGAACGGUCUUCGGGACAGUGGCAGACGGGUGAGUAACACGUGGGAACGUGCCCUUUGGUUCGGAAUAACUCAGGGAAACCUGGAUUAAUACCGGAUGAGCCCUACGGGGGAAAGAUUUAUCGCCAAAGGAGCGGCCCGCGUCUGAUUAGCUAGUUGGUGGGGUAAAGGCCCACCAAGGCUUCGAUCAGUAGCUGGUCUGAGAGGAUGAUCAGCCACACUGGGACUGAGACACGGCCCAGACUCCUACGGGAGGCAGCAGUGGGGAAUCUUGCGCAAUGGGCGAAAGCCUGACGCAGCCAUGCCGCGUGAAUGAUGAAUGUCUUAGGAUUGUAAAAUUCUUUCACCGGGGAAGAUAAUGACGGUACCCGGAGAAGAAGCCCCGGCUAACUUCGUGCCAGCAGCUGCGGUAAUACGAAGGGGGCUAGCGUUGCUCGGAUUUACUGGGCGUAAAGGGCGCGUAGGCGGACAGUUAAGUCAGAGGUGAAAGCCCAGGGCUCAACCCUGGAAUUGCCUUUGAUACUGGCUGUCUUGAGUGCGGGAGAGGUGUGUGGAACUCCGAGUGUAGAGGUGAAAUUCGUAGAUAUUCGGAAGAACACCAGUGGCGAAGGCGACACACUGGCCCGUAACUGACGCUGAGGCGCGAAAGCGUGGGGAGCAAACAGGAUUAGAUACCCUGGUAGUCCACGCCGUAAACGAUGAGUGCUAGUUGUCGGCAUGCAUGCAUGUCGGUGACGCAGCUAACGCAUUAAGCACUCCGCCUGGGGAGUACGGUCGCAAGAUUAAAACUCAAAGGAAUUGACGG